rnacentral:rRNA from 1 species
AUUGAACGCUGGCGGCAUGCCUUACACAUGCAAGUCGAACGGACGCGCGGGCAUCUUCCUGGCCGCGAGUUGCGAACGGGUGGGUAAUUCACAGGAAGGUGCCCAGUCUUUGGGGAUAGCUCGGCUUAAGGCGGAUUAAGACCGCAUCCGAUCAGAGGGUGAAAGGGGUGGAUCUUUGGACCUCGCGCUAUUUGAUGGGCCGGUGUCAGAUUAGCUAGUUGGUGGGGUAAAGGCCUACCAAGGCGACUAUCCGUAGCUGGUCUGAGAGGGAGACCAGCCACACUGGAACUGAGACACGGCCCAGACUCCUACGGGAGGCAGCAGUGGGGAAUUUUGGGCAAUGGGCGAAAGCCUGAUCCAGCAAUGCCGCGUGUGUGAUGAAGGCCUUCGGAUUGUAAAGCUCUGUUAGCGGGAAAGAACAAAAGUGUACGAAACCCAAGAUGUCUUGACGGUACCCGAAGAAAAAGCAACGGCUAACUACGUG